UAUUCUACCAUGAUCACCUCCAGCAGCCUCACUUGGAUAAAGUGCUUUAUUUUGUAAAUUACACCUAAAUAAGGACUUUAUCCAUGGAAGCUAUUGGCUAGGAUCAUUCAGCCCAAAA
rnacentral:precursor_RNA from 15 species